AUUGAACGCUGGCGGCAGGCCUAACACAUGCAAGUCGAGCGGAUGAAGGGAGCUUGCUCCUGUCUUCAGCGGCGGACGGGUGAGUAAUGCCUAGGAAUCUGCCUGGUAGUGGGGAAUAACGUCAGGAAACGGGCGCUAAUACCGCAUACGUCCUGAGGGUGAAAGUGGGGGAUCUUCGGACCUCACGCUAUCAGAUGAGCCUAGGUCGGAUUAGCUAGUUGGGGGGGUAAAGGCCUACCAAGGCGACGUUCCGUAACUGGUCUGAGAGGAUGAUCAGUCACACUUGAACUGAGAAACGGUCCCGACCCCCAAGGGAGGGAGCAGUUGGGAAUAUUGGAGCAUUGGCGAAAGCCUGAUCCAGCCAUGCCGCGUGGGUGAAGAAGGUCUUCGGAUUGUAAAGCACUUUAAGUUGGGAGGAAGGGAAGUAAGUUAAUACCUUGCUGUUUUGACGGUACCAACAGAAUAAGCACCGGCUAACUUCGUG
rnacentral:rRNA from 1 species